CUUCCUCCUUAUCUGUACAUCAGUAUUAAGCUAAACUUCCGGCUGUUUCCAAACUCAUACAUGAAGAAAAGUCACAUUAACCACGAAAAUAAAUAAAUAACCCUCCAAAAAGGCUCAAAUGAGGCUUAAAUAACUAGAAGGUUACAGACCCGUUCAGAGCGCCCACCUUGAAAACAUCAGGACCUAGAUCGAGACCUUCCCUCCUCCUUCCCCGUGUCUUUCCCUCAAUAUUUACCUCGAUUUUCUUGGUUUUCCGGGCAUUUCCAGAACAACUGACUGAUCACGUUCCAGUUUGGUUCGGUUCCCUGUGAUUCAGAAAACAAGGCUGGCGUGGUCACCCGUGCCUCCCUUCCGGCCUGGCUUGACGUGACGCGGCCCUCCCUCAGCUGCAUCGGGAACCACCGCACACGCACGUUUUUCCACUACAGGUGUUCCUCUCGCACGGCGGCGCGGAGGAGGGGAAAGAGGUGGAUGACUCAUGCUUCAGGAACACCGUGAAACCAGAAAGAGCAGGUGACUCCACACCACAGGGACACAGGUAUGGAUGGCCGUGGCACCUCACCUGCAUCACCACCACAGGACGGCCCUUGGUUCACGCCCACCACCACCACACCUUGAAGCCAGUGCCACCUUCACCCCUCCACCUGGUUCAGCCACACCGGCCACCACCACCAUCAGCACCAGCACCACCAGUACCACCAGGGGGCCGCAUAACGGGAGUGGAUGAUGACGCUUCCCGUAACCAACAAGGAGCGGAAGGGCCCCAUUACCUGGCCCGCCGCCCCGCCAGCGCUGCUCCCAGGGUGACGGGGGCAGCCAAUCCCAACCCGCCCCGCCCCUGCCUCCUCCAUCCAGUCCUCCCCACCCUAUCUCUCUCUCUCUCUCUCUCUCUCUCUCUCUCUCCUUCCUCUUCCUACUUCUGGUUUUAGUCUGAAUGAUUGAUUCUCCAAGCAGCCAAGAAAGGAGGUAAUUAUGUAUGCUGCUAUUUGUUUAAUUUAUGUAAUUCCGUGUAAUUUUGUGUAAUUCUCAACCUUCUAUUUCCUCUCGGGGUGACAGAGCAAAGAGUCUCCUGCUUUGCCUCCUCCUUCUCCUCCUGUUCCUUCUUUCUUAUUCAUCCUGUUCCUUCCUCCUCUUUCCUCUUCCUCCUUCUUCUCUCAGCCAGGAAGUCCACAGGAAGAUUAAUGCUGUUUUUUAAUACACGUGAAAUAAAUCUGCUUUAUUCCGUUAUCAUUGCUCUUCAUUACGAGUAACUGGUGACUUAUAAAAACGCUGUGUAUCCACUAACAUCUUGGUAAUAAGUGUAGAGUGCGCUGUUCCUUUGUUUUUUCUUAUUAAUAUAUCACUCUGUGAUAUGUGUCUUUAGAAACACUUGGGUAGGAUAAUUUUUCCU